AUCCAUGGUAGUAGUACAAGUACCGAUGCUGACUAUGAAAUCUGGUGGUGUUUAAUUGAUGUAUUAAAGGUCCUGGAUUCAAAUUUGACUAAGUGUAAUAGAAUAUAAUCAAAGACUGCACAUUUAACUGUAAUAAAUUAGUUUCACAAGAUACGUAUGUCAAUAUUCUAACCAAGACAUGCUCGUUAAGGGAAAACUAGUAUAAUGAAAUUAUACUAUUCCCUAUGUGCAGGAUUUUCUCACAAGAAAAUUUGAUACUGAUAGAAUGUAAUUUGUAGUCUCAAUAAUAACAACAACCAUGUGCAAUGUGAACAUUUACAUAAAAUGCCUUGAUUACACUGAAAAUGUUUCUGUUUCUUUUGGCAGAUCCAGGAAGAAAACAUAUAAUCUAUAUUUCAGUUCUGUGUGUGGUCUGUAUUAUUGCAGUAGUUGGAGUUUUUCUUUGUCUAAGGAAAAGGAGAAACCACAUAGAAGCUCAAUCUACAAAUGAAGAACCACAAAAUGACGUUCAGUACUCUGAGAUAUUGCACACUGAUUUAAGAACCAGUCAGGGAGAGGGACAGCACAUACCAGAACUGGCUGCCGAGGGACAAGAGUCAUUAUUAACCUCCAUCUACGCCAAAAUUCAACCACAUUCCCCAGCGGCCACAGGCACAGACAGCACUGUGAUCUUAGGUCACCUAUAAAAUUACAUUUCACUGCUUUUUACUGUGCACUGAAGAUAUACUGUAGCUAGACAUGACAUCAAGAAGUGCUUGAGGUUAAUAAAUCAGCGCAAAUAUUUAUGUACCUCA
rnacentral:lncRNA from 1 species